AACGAACGCUGGCGGCAUGCCUAACACAUGCAAGUCGAACGAGACCUUCGGGUUUAGUGGCGCACGGGUGCGUAACGCGUGGGAACCUGCCCUUAGGUUCGGAAUAACUCCCCGAAAGGGGUGCUAAUACCGGAUAAUGUCUUCGGACCAAAGAUUUAUCGCCUUUGGAUGGGCCCGCGUUGGAUUAGCUAGUUGGUAGGGUAAAAUCCUACAAAGGCGACGAUCGAUAGCUGGUCUGAGAGGAUGAGCAGCCACACUGGGACUGAGACACGGCCCAGACUCCUACGGGAGGCAGCAGUGGGGAAUAUUGGACAAUGGGCGAAAGCCUGAUCCAGCAAGGACGCGUGAGUGAUGAAGGCCUUAGGGUUGUAAAGCUCUUUUACCCGGGAUGAUAAUGACAUUACCGGGAGAAUAAGCUCCGGCUAACUCCGUG
rnacentral:rRNA from 1 species